rfam:Dipodomys ordii contig_13084, whole genome shotgun sequence.
GUGGCUCAGUGGUAGAGUGCUUGCCUUGCAUGCACGAGGCCCUGGGUUCAAUUCCUCAGC